AAAAAGAUAAGCUAAAUAAAGCUUUUGGGCUCAUAUCCCAACGAUAGUAAAAUACUUCUUUUUA
rnacentral:tRNA from 1 species